GAUGAAGAACGCAGCGAAAUGCGAUAAGUAAUGUGAAUUGCAGAAUUCAGUGAAUCAUCGAAUCUUUGAACGCACAUUGCGCCCCUUGGUAUUCCGAGGGGCAUGCCUGUUCGAGCGUCAUUAUAACCCCUCAAGCUCAGCUUGGUGUUGGGGCCUGCCGCACGGGCAGCCCUUAAAAUCAGUGGCGGUGCCAUCUGGCCCUAAGCGUAGUAAUUCUUCUCGCUAUAGAGUCCCGGUGGAUGCUUGCCAUUAACCCCCAAUUUUCUAUGGUUGACCUCGGAUCAGGUAGGGAUACCCGCUGAACUUAAGCAUAUCAAUAAGCGGAGGA
rnacentral:misc_RNA from 1 species